rnacentral:rRNA from 1 species
CACGCCGUAAACGAUGGAUGCUAGCCGUCGGCAAGCUUGCUUGUCGGUGGCGCAGCUAACGCAUUAAGCAUCCCGCCUGGGGAGUACGGCCGCAAGGUUAAAACUCAAAGGAAUUGACGG